GGAAGUAAAAGUCGUAACAAGGUUUCCGUAGGUGAACCUGCGGAAGGAUCAUUACCUAGAGUUUGUGGACUUCGGUCUGCUACCUCUUACCCAUGUCUUUUGAGUACCUUCGUUUCCUCGGCGGGUCCGCCCGCCGGUUGGACAACAUUCAAACCCUUUGCAGUUGCAAUCAGCGUCUGAAAAAACUUAAUAGUUACAACUUUCAACAACGGAUCUCUUGGUUCUGGCAUCGAUGAAGAACGCAGCGAAAUGCGAUAAGUAGUGUGAAUUGCAGAAUUCAGUGAAUCAUCGAAUCUUUGAACGCACAUUGCGCCCCUUGGUAUUCCAUGGGGCAUGCCUGUUCGAGCGUCAUUUGUACCUUCAAGCUCUGCUUGGYGUUGGGUGUUUUGUCUCGCCUCCGCGCGCAGACUCGCCUUAAAACAAUUGGCAGCCGGCGUAUUGAUUUCGGAGCGCAGUACAUCUCGCGCUUUGCACUCAUAACGACGACGUCCAAAAGUACAUUUUUACACUCUUGACCUCGGAUCAGGUAGGGAUACCCGCUGAACUUAAGCAUAUCAAUAAGCGGAGGA
rnacentral:rRNA from 1 species